rnacentral:lncRNA from 1 species
ACUCAUUCAACCCUCCUACAGACUUACCUCUACGCUCCUCCCCUCCACUCUACUCAUUCAACCCUCCUACAGACUUACCUCUACGCUCCUCCACUCUACUCUACUCAUUCAACCCUCCUACAGACUUACCUCUACGCUCCUCCAGCUCCACUCUACUCAUUCAACCCUCCUACAGACUUACCUCUACGCUCCUCCACUCUACUCUACUCAUUCAACCCUCCUACAGACUUACCUCUACGCUCCUCCAGCUCCACUCUACUCAUUCAACCCUCCUACAGACUUACCUCUACGCUCCUCCACUCUACUCUACUCAUUCAACCCUCCUACAGACUUAGCUCUACGCUCCUCCACUCUACUCUACUCAUUCAACCCUCCUACAGACUUACCUCUACGCUCCUCCACUCUACUCAUUCAACCCUCCUACAGACUUACCUCUACGCUCCUCCACUCUACUCAUUCAACCCUCCUACAGACUUACCUCUACGCUCCUCCACUCUACUCAUUCAACCCUCCUACAGACUUACCUCUACGCUCCUCCACUCUACUCUACUCAUUCAACCCUCCUACAGACUUACCUCUACGCUCCUCCAGCUCCACUCUACUCAUUCAACCCUCCUACAGACUUACCUCUACGCUCCUCCAGCUCCACUCUACUCAUUCAACCCUCCUACAGACUUAGCUCUACGCUCCUCCACUCUACUCUACUCAUUCAACCCUCCUACAGACUUACCUCUACGCUCCUCCAGCUCCACUCUACUCAUUCAACCCUCCUACAGACUUACCUCAACGCUCCUCCAGCUCCACUUUACACAUUCAACUCUCCUACAGACUUACCUCUACGCUCCUCCACUCUACUCUACUCAUUCAACCCUCCUACAGACUUACCUCUACGCUCCUCCACUCUACUCUACUCAUUCAACCCUCCUACAGACUUAGCUCUACGCUCCUCCACUCUACUCAUUCAACCCUCCUACAGACUUACCUCUACGCUCCUCCACUCUACUCUACUCAUUCAACCCUCCUACAGACUUACCUCUAUGCUCCUCCACUCUACUCUACUCAUUCAACCCUCCUACAGACUUACCUCUACGCUCCUCCAGCUCCACUCUACUCAUUCAACCCUCCUACAGACUUACCUCUACGCUCCUCCACUCUACUCAUUCAACCCUCCUACAGACUUACCUCUACGCUCCUCCACUCUACUCUACUCAUUCAACCCUCCUACAGACUUACCUCUACGCUCCUCCACUCUACUCUACUCAUUCAACCCUCCUACAGACUUACCUCUACGCUCCUCCAGCUCCACUCUACACAUUCAGCCCUCCUACAGAUUUACCUCUACGCUCCUCCAGCUCCACUCUACACCCCCCAUCCUCAACUCACCCCUCCUACAGCCCCACCUUGUCAACCCCCCCCCCUCCACCACCCUCCAACAUCAACACCCUGAUGUCUCUUCUUCUCCCUGAAGUGUGUACCUUCAUCCCACCUUGUGGAUUUAAAAGGAAUGGACUGGUGUGAGGAAAAUCAUAUCAGAUAUUAUUUUGACAUGGUGAAAACUCAAGUCCAUGAUUAAUCCAAUGCUUUUACAUCCAUGAAGGGGACUGAGUGAGCAAGUCAAGUGCACACGGGGGCAUAAGGCCAGUAGGGAAUCAUAACACACACACAGCCUAUACUGAUCUAGUAAGUAAUGGGACGUAAUAGUUUUGUGGUCCCUCUUAACACACCCACAAACUGCUCGAUAGAGAAGUUUCCAAACGCUGUGAAACCUUGUGUGUUCUGAACACACCCCAGUAGUUGUUUCUGUUUUCUGUAGACACUUAAUAAAGGACUGGUGAAGAAGUCUC